GUAGCAAUAGGUCGGUGGUAGAGCCCCCGCUUCGCGUUCGGGGAGACCCGGGUUCAAUUCCCGGCUGCUUCC
rfam:Toxocara canis scaffold38, whole genome shotgun sequence.